UACGAAGGGUGCAAGCGUUACUCGGAAUUACUGGGCGUAAAGCGUGCGUAGGUGGUUUGUUAAGUCUGUUGUGAAAGCCCCGGGCUCAACCUGGGAAUGGCAAUGGAUACUGGCAGGCUAGAGUGCGGUAGAGGGUAGUGGAAUUCCCGGUGUAGCGGUGAAAUGCGUAGAGAUCGGGAGGAACACCAGUGGCGAAGGCGACUUUCUGGUCUAUAACUGACACUGAGGCGCGAAAGCGUGGGGAGCAAACAGG
rnacentral:rRNA from 1 species